CCGAGAAUAUUCGACAAUGGGCGAAAGCCUGAUCGAGCGAUACCGCGUGGUGGAUGAAGGCCUUCGGGUCGUAAACACCUUUUAUGGGGGAGGAAGUUAUUGACGCUACCCCAUGAAUAAGAGGCUCCUAACUCUGUGCCAGCAGGAGCGGUAAUACAGAGGCCUCGAGCGUUACCCGGAAUCACUGGGCGUAAAGGGUGUGUAGGUGGUCGUAUUAGUCGUGAGUUAAAAACCCGGGCUCAACCCGGGGAGUGCUUGCGAAACGGUACGACUUGAGGGCGUGAGAGGUGAGUGGAACUCUAGGUGUAGGGGUGAAAUCCGUUGAUAUCUAGGGGAACACCGAAAGCGAAGGCAACUCACUGGCGCGUUCCUGACACUGAAACACGAAAGCGUAGGUAGCGAACG
rnacentral:rRNA from 1 species